AUUGAACGCUGGCGGCAGGCCUAACACAUGCAAGUCGAACGAGUGGCGGACGGGUGAGUAAUGUCUGGGAAACUGCCUGAUGGAGGGGGAUAACUACUGGAAAAGGUAGCUAAUACCGCAUACUAUCAGAUGUGCCCAGAUGGGAUUAGCUAGUUGGUGGGGUAACGGCUCACCAAGGCGACGAUCCCUAUCUGGUCUGUGAGGAUGACCAGCCACACUGGUACUGGGACACGGUCCAGACUCCUUCGGGAGGAAGCAGUGGGGAAUUUUGCACACUGGGCGCAAGCCUGCUGCAGCCAUUCCGCGUGUAUGAAGAAGGCCUUCGGGUUGUAAAGUACUUUCAGCGGGGAGGCGUUACCCGCAGAAGAAGCACCGGCUCACUCCAUGCCAGCAGCCGCGGUAAUUC
rnacentral:rRNA from 1 species